UCCGGUUCAUCACCGGCAGUCUCCCCAGAGUCCCCGCCAUAACGCGCUGGUAACUGGGAACAGGGGUUGCGCUCGUUACGGGACUUAACCCAACAUCUCACAACACGAGCUGACGACAGCCAUGCAGCACCUGUCUCACGGUUCCUUUCGGCACUUUCGCAUCUCUGCAAAAUUCCGUGGAUGUCAAGGGUAGGUAAGGUUCUUCGCGUUGCAUCGAAUUAAACCACAUGCUCCACCGCUUGUGCGGGCCCCCGUCAAUUCCUUUGAGUUUUAACCUUGCGGCCGUACUCCCCAGGCGGAGAACUUAUCGCGUUAGCUUCGAUACUAAUGGGCCAGGCCCACCAACAUCCAGUUCUCAUCGUUUACAGCGUGGACUAC
rnacentral:misc_RNA from 1 species